GACGAACGCUGGCGGCGUGCUUAACACAUGCAAGUCGAACGCUGAAGCUCAGCUUUUGUUGGGUGGAUGAGUGGCGAACGGGUGAGUAACACGUGAGUAACCUGCCUCCUUCUUUGGGAUAACGCCCGGAAACGGGUGCUAAUACUGGAUAUUCACUGUUCUUCGCAUGGGGGUUGGUGGAAAGGGUUUUUCUGGUGGGGGAUGGGCUCGCGGCCUAUCAGCUUGUUGGUGGGGUGAUGGCCUACCAAGGCUUUGACGGGUAGCCGGCCUGAGAGGGUGACCGGUCACAUUGGGACUGAGAUACGGCCCAGACUCCUACGGGAGGCAGCAGUGGGGAAGAUUGCACAAUGGGCGCAAGACUGAUGCAGCGACGCCGCGGGAGGGAUGGAGGCCUUCGGGUUGUGAACCUCUUUCGCUCAUGGUCAAGCCGCAACAAUGGUUGUGGUGAGGGUAGUGGGUAAAGAAGCGCCGGCUAACUACGUG
rnacentral:rRNA from 1 species